AGCUUUGCGCACUGGCAGUAUCGUAGCCAAUGAGGUUUAUCCGAGGCGCGAUUAUUGCUAAUUGAGAAAUCUCCAAACUCUAUUUUAAGUAUGAUGAUUAGUCUUGUAUGUAACCGGGACUUUGGAAAUUUUAAAG
rnacentral:snRNA from 1 species